rnacentral:rRNA from 1 species
UUGUCUCAAAGAUUAAGCCAUGCAUGUCUCAGUACAAGCCAAAUUAAGGUGAAACCGCGAAAGGCUCAUUAAAUCAGUUAUGGUUCCUUAGAUCGUACCCAUAAUUACUUGGAUAACUGUGGUAAUUCUAGAGCUAAUACAUGCAAACAGAGCUCCGACCGGAAACGAAAGGAGCGCUUUUAUUAGAUCAAAACCAAUCGGCGGCGGGCUCGUCUCGUCAUCGUAAUAUUUGGUGACUCUGAAUAACUUUACGCUGAUCGCACGGUCUCGCACCGGCGACGCAUCUUUCAAAUGUCUGCCUUAUCAACUGUCGAUGGUAGGUUCUGUGCCUACCAUGGUUGUAACGGGUAACGGGGAAUCAGGGUUCGAUUCCGGAGAGGGAGCCUGAGAAACCGCUUCCACAUCCAAGGAGGCAGCAGGCGCGCAAAUUACCCACUCCCGGCACGGGGAGGUAGUGACGAAAAAUAACGAUACGGGACUCAUCCGAGGCCCCGUAAUCGGAAUGAGUACACUCUAAACCCUUUAACGAGGAUCAAUUGGAGGGCAAGUCUGGUGCCAGCAGCCGCGGUAAUUCCAGCUCCAAUAGCGUAUAUUAAAGUUGUUGCGGUUAAAAAGCUCGUAGUCGAAUCUGUGUCCCGCGCCGCUGGUUCAUCGUACGCGGUGUUAACUGGCGUGCCGCGGGACGUCCUGCCGGUGGGCUUAGCUCGCAAGGGCGGCCCA